rnacentral:lncRNA from 1 species
GAGAUUUCAAUGUUAAUAGAGAGAAAACUUGCUAGGGUUAUAUGUCAUCAUUAUGUAUUUAUCAUAUGAAAAUAUAGGUUAGUAAUAUGAUCCUGUAGCGGUAUUCGUGAUUCUGUAGCGUUAUUCAUGAGAAAACUUGCUAGGGUUAUAUGUCAUCAUUGUGUAUUUAUCAUAUGAAAGUAAAUAGGUUAGUAAUAUGUAUUCAUGAUCAUUAGGCUAUGGAUAAACUUAACGUCAAUAAAAUCAGAGUCGCCACCGCGCUUUUAUUGUUUCCA